AUUGAACGCUGGCGGCAUGCUUUACACAUGCAAGUCGGACGGCAGCACAGAGAAGCUUGCUUCUUGGGUGGCGAGUGGCGAACGGGUGAGUAAUAUAUCGGAACGUACCGAGUAAUGGGGGAUAACUAAUCGAAAGAUUAGCUAAUACCGCAUAUUCUCUGAGGAGGAAAGCAGGGGACCUUCGGGCCUUGCGUUAUUCUAGCGGCCGAUAUCUGAUUAGCUAGUUGGUGGGGUAAAGGCCUACCAAGGCGACGAUCAGUAGCGGGUCUGAGAGGAUGAUCAGCCACACUGGGACUGAGACACGGACCAGACUCCUACGGGAGGCAGCAGUGGGGAAUUUUGGACAAUGGGCGCAAGCCUGAUCCAGCAACGCCGCGUGUCUGAAGAAGGACUUCGGGUUGUAAAGGACUUUUGUCAGGGAAGAAAAGGCUGUUGCUAAUAUCGACAGCUGAUGACGGUACCUGAAGAAUAAGCACCGGCUAACUACGUG
rnacentral:rRNA from 1 species